AAUAUAGUUCUUAUCCGAGAUCCAGAGAAUCCAAAAGAUUUUUAUCCUCGUUUCAACCUUGAAGAUACCUCAAGUUUCCAGGCUUUGGAUGAUCACAUGUACCUUAUUAAUAUUAGUGCAUGUGGAUAAACCACUAGGAAUGGUUCCAGCUAUUAUGCUGAUAUUCAUCAUUGUUUGGCGCUGAAAACUAGGACUGUUAAAAAAAAACACUGAGCAAGAAUGUUCUCAACAGAUUGUAUUACGACUACUAUUUCCAACGUCAAGAGAAUCUUUGGAGGCAAAAUGCGCUUAAGACUCUACCUGCACUUCUAAAUUCAUCAGGGUAAAAAGUCUUCAUUAAAAAUCAAAUCAUUCCUCUAUGUCUCAUGUCAUCGUCCCUGCUUGCUACUGUAGGAUAAACAUGUUCAUCCAUUGUUAAUCAAUUUUUCAUGGUUGGAGAAAAGGAGAUCUACUUGAAUUAUUAUUUUAUGGGAAGUUGUUAUAAGGGAUGUGCUAGGGUAUCUAGUCAAUUUCACCGAAUAUGCGAGUCAGAGUAUUUCCUGCAUUAACAGGAAGAGUAUACAAACCUCUUCAUUUGGAGUGAGUCCAAGUUAUGAUAUAAAUAAUAAGAUAUGUGUAGAGUAAGUAGCCUAGUAAGAUAGAUCAUCGGUGGUGCUUGACCAAAAGUUCUCAGCUGUCUUGUUCAGAUUCAGGUUUGCUAUGACCUUCAAUUAGUUGCCGCAGAUAUUGGAGUUUUGUUGUGGCUAUUUGAUGUUCAGUUACAGCUUUCUGAGCUGAACAUAAUAGUGCUUACUUUGAAUUGUUAGUUGUCAACUUGUCAUGGUUUUCAGUGUUUAGAUAUGGUUUUAAUGAUAAUGAUAUUGACAACUGUAGCAAUUAGGCUGGCAAAUUACUGUUUUGUACGCCAAAAUUGUAUACAUGAAGUUCACAGAAUUUCCAAGAUGAGGAAUGAGUUCCAUA